GGAUGUGAGGGUGAUCUGGCUGCAACAUCUGUCACCCUAUUGAUCACCAGGGUUGAUUCUGCUGAUCUGGCUGGCUAGGCAGGUGUCCCCUUCCUCCCUCACCGCUCCAUGUGCGACCCUCCCAAAGGGCAUAAAUUAUGCCCAGCCUAUUGUUUGUUUUUUGUCCUUGAGAUAGACAUCUAAGAACUUGAUGUCUGGAAUCAAAGUGUCUCAGUUUAAACCUUAGCUCUGCCCCUUACUUGUUAUGUGACCUCGGGCAAAGUUCUUAACUUCUUGGUUCCUCAGUUUCUUCAUCUAUGCAAUGGGAUACUGAUCCUCACU
rnacentral:snRNA from 1 species